GUUCUGUAAGCCUGUGAAGGUGUGCUGUGAGGCAUGCUGGAGGUAUCAGAAGUGCGAAUGCUGACAUAAGUAACGAUAAAGCGGGUGAAAAGCCCGCUCGCCGGAAGACCAAGGGUUCCUGUCCAACGUUAAUCGGGGCAGGGUGAGUCGACCCCUAAGGCGAGGCCGAAAGGCGUAGUCGAUGGGAAACGGGUUAAUAUUCCCGUACUUGGUGUUACUGCGAAGGGGGGACGGAGAAGGCUAUGUUGGCCGGGCGACGGUUGUCCCGGUUUAAGCGUGUAGGUGUGUGUUCCAGGUAAAUCCGGUUCACUUUAACACUGAGGCGUGAUGACGAGGCACUACGGUGCUGAAGCAACAAAUGCCCUGCUUCCAGGAAAAGCCUCUAAGCAUCAGGUAACAUCAAAUCGUACCCCAAACCGACACAGGUGGUCAGGUAGAGAAUACCAAGGCGCUUGAGAGAACUCGGGUGAAGGAACUAGGCAAAAUGGUGCCGUAACU
rnacentral:rRNA from 1 species